rnacentral:rRNA from 1 species
GAUGAACGCUGGCGGCGUGCCUAAUACAUGCAAGUCGAGCGAACAGACGAGGAGCUUGCUCCUCUGACGUUAGCGGCGGACGGGUGAGUAACACGUGGAUAACCUACCUAUAAGACUGGGAUAACUUCGGGAAACCGGAGCUAAUACCGGAUAACAUGUUGAACCGCAUGGUUCAACAGUGAAAGACGGUCUUGCUGUCACUUAUAGAUGGAUCCGCGCCGCAUUAGCUAGUUGGUAAGGUAACGGCUUACCAAGGCAACGAUGCGUAGCCGACCUGAGAGGGUGAUCGGCCACACUGGAACUGAGACACGGUCCAGACUCCUACGGGAGGCAGCAGUAGGGAAUCUUCCGCAAUGGGCGAAAGCCUGACGGAGCAACGCCGCGUGAGUGAAGAAGGUCUUCGGAUCGUAAAACUCUGUUAUUAGGGAAGAAUAAAUGUGUAAGUAACUAUGCACGUCUUGACGGUACCUAAUCAGAAAGCCACGGCUAACUACGU